AAAGUACUCCCUCCGUACCAAAAUUCUUGUCUUAGAUUUGUCUAGAUACAGAUGUAUCAAGUCACAUUUUAGUGUUAGAUACAUCCGUAUCUAGACAAAUCUAAGACAAGAAAUUUGGGACAGAGGGAGUAGUUG
rnacentral:pre_miRNA from 1 species